UUUAGUCUACAUCUGACCUGUCAUACAAAUCAAAAUGUGGUAACUGUGUCUGGAAGUUGUAAAAAAUUCUCAAAUACAAUAUGCUACUUUCAGCAUUUGGAAAUCCAAGUUCAAACACAAAUCUAAAACUGUAACAGUAAGGUAGUGGCUCACUUCCUGGGAUUGGCAACAAUCAUCUGGCAGGUUGGCCCAAUAUAUAUACAAAAAUAAAUAAUACAGUACACAAUGGGCAAAAAAAAGAAACAUACCAAAUUUCUUUUAUAAGAUAUCAGCAGGCAAUAUAGCUGCACAUACAUAGACAAUACAGCAGAGACAUCACUCCCAGGUUUCACUUCUUUUUGCCUGAGACAUACACC
rnacentral:lncRNA from 1 species